rnacentral:tRNA from 1 species
GCGGGGAUGCGCCGGCGACGGCGUGAAGCUGACACCUGAAGUUGAAGCUGACACCACCGGUCACAGUGCAGGUUCAAAUCCUGCCCCCCGCACCA